rnacentral:tRNA from 1 species
UCAGAAAGCUCAGUGUAGAGCAAGGACUGAAAUC